rnacentral:rRNA from 1 species
AGUGAACGCUGGCGGUAGGCCUAACACAUGCAAGUCGAACGGCAGCACAGUAAGAGCUUGCUCUUACGGGUGGCGAGUGGCGGACGGGUGAGGAAUACAUCGGAAUCUACUUUUUCGUGGGGGAUAACGUAGGGAAACUUACGCUCAUACCGCAUCCGACCUACGGGUGAAAGCAGGGGAUCUUCGGACCUUGCGCGAUUGAAUGAGCCGAUGUCGGAUUAGCAAGUUGGCGGGGUAAAGGCCCACCAAGUCGACGAUCCGUAGCUGGUCUGAGAGGAUGAUCAGCCACACUGGAACUGAGACACGGUCCAGACUCCUACGGGAGGCAGCAGUGGGGAAUAUUGGACAAUGGGCGCAAGCCUGAUCCAGCCAUACCGCGUGGGUGAAGAAGGCCUUCGGGUUGUAAAGCCCUUUUGUUGGGAAAGAAAAGCAGCAGGUUAAUACCCCGCUGUUCUGACGGUACCCAAAGAAUAAGCACCGGCUAACUUCGUG